CACUCCCCUUUUUAACCAGCUCCAGGAGAGGCAGAAGCCCUAAGCUGUGCCCAACUGGGCAGAGGGAUCCUUCUCCCAUCAUCACUGGUUCAGUGUCCUCUGCAGCUCACGUUAUUGCCUUUCUCCUCCCCCUGGCUGCCUGGCUGAACCCUGAGGUGACAUGAGUCUCCCAUGUGCUCCUGUGCAGCCAAGCACCCUAUUGCAUGCCUGCUGCCCUAUCACUGCCUGAUAAACUCCACUGCUGCAAGUUACCAGGAGCAGCCCUUGGAUGUAUGCAUGCAAUCGGCCUCUGUGGCCAGCAUGACUCCAUGCUGAGACCAUACAGCAUCCUGCCUUCUGCACCUGAAGGUUCUGCCAGAAGAAGCCAGGAGAACAAGGUGACAGAUGGUCUGCAUCCUUUCCCCUGAAGCCAGGAGGAUCCCAGCCUCAACGUCCACAGGCAGAGUUCCCUGAAGAUUGAACAUUUGUAUAGGCUGUGACGUAGCCCUGGAGGGUGAUUGAUAAUUAAUAAGAAUUUGUGAGUAAAUGCUUUAAUGCCUCUGUAAUUCUCCACUGCCUUCUGCCAUGAGCAGAAAGAGCUCUGGCCCACCGACUGGGCAAAUGGUGCAUUGACCCCAGGUGGCAACGGGGAUUCUCUCUGUUUAUAGUUUGAAUGUUUGCUAGUCAUUGACAAGUUCUGUUUGAUGUUGUUCCUGGAAUGUCUUCCAUAACCAUGUAAGAACAAACAUUACUGUUAAAAUUCAGUGGUUGGGGGUGGUGAGAGUCCAGAAUAUUGAAAUUAAUAAAUGAUAUAUUUUUAUAAGA